GAUGAACGCUGGCGGCGUGCCUAAUACAUGCAAGUCGAGCGAACAGACCCGGCUCUUGCUCCUCUGACGUUAGCCGCGCACGUGUGAGUCACACGUGUAUCACCCCCCUAUCUUUCUGGGAUCACUUCGGGAAUCCGGAUCUAAUACCGUAUAAUAUAUUGCACCACAUUGUUCAUUGGUAAAUGUCGGUUUUGCUGUCACUUAUAGCUGCUUCCGCGCCGCAUUAGGUAGUUGGUAAGGUAACGGCUUAGCAAGGCAACGAUGCCUAGCCGAACUGAGAGGGUGAUAGGCCACACUGGAACGGAGCCGCGGUCCAGACGACUGAGAGAGGCAGCAGUAGGGAAUCGUCCGCAAUAGGCGAGAGCAUGACGGAGCAGGGCGGAGUCAGUGAUGAAGGUCUUCGGAUCGUAAAGCUGUGUUAUUAGUGAAGAACAGAUGUGUAAGGAACUGUGGACGUCUUGACGGUACCUAAUCAGAAAGCAACGGCUAACUACGUG
rnacentral:rRNA from 1 species